AUUUCUAUCUUAAUAAAGUUUAUACAUAUACUUUUCACCCGAUGUUCUCUUUGGGUUGGUGGGGGCGUGAGCCAGUGUGGGGGGGCACCACAGGGGCUGUUCGCCCAGGGCGCCAUUCAGGCUAGGACCGCCACUGACCUCUCCACCCAGCUGACAACCUUGUUCAACAUCUCCCAUCUUUGCUUUUGUUUUGCACUGAUGUCUGUAUGUUUGCACUGAUGUAUGUAUUGUAUCAACUAUUCCAUCUACACUGAGACAAAUUCCACUCACCUAACUUUGUGCCAAUAAAAGAAAUGUUGAAAUGUGGCAAGCAUCAACUAUGGUCACGAUAAAAUGCAGGGAAAAUAUUUUGCAUAUUUUGCACAGUGAAAACAUCACAGACUAGUUUCAAACUAGCUCCAUCAAUACUUAUUGUGGAUUUUUCCUUAAUGAUAUAUCAGCCAGUUAAUUUAAUCAACAAAAGUUGAUGGUUGUUUUUAAUGUGGUUAUUUUGAGCAAUAUAUGUACUGAACAAAUUAAAUUUCAGUUUAUUUAUUUUAUAUAGCACCUUAUACAAUCAAUUCAAUGUCAAAUCAAUUGUCUCAUGCUUUACAGAGACCCAUAGCCUGAAACCUCGAGCAAGACAGUGGCAAGGAAAAACUCCCUUUUAACAGGAAGAAACCUUGAGCAGGACCCAACUUGCAAGGGAGAACCUACCAGCUGAUAGUCGGCCGGGGGGGAACUACAAGGAGAACUGGACACACAGUUAUUUGCUGCUAUUGCUGCUGUUACUAAACUGCUGUUGGUCAGCCAGACAGCAAAAUUAGUUAGAAAGGAACUAAGCUUCCUCUGUUUCAGACCAACGAAUCAGAGCUGCUUAAUCAAACUCAAAGAAGAGAAACAAAAACAAGAGCCUUGAAUCAAAG